rnacentral:rRNA from 1 species
CACACCGCCCGUCACACCAUGAAAGUUGUGCCUACCAGAAGUCAUUGCGCUAACCGUAAGGGGGCAGAUGCCCAAGGUAGGAACGAUGAUUGGGGUG